AGCCAAACAGCUAGCCCCCUCAACCAAAAAUAACAAAUCACCAUUAAUAUCCCCAAAUACACCCCCCCCCAACAAACAAACCAUUUUUCCCCCCUAGUAUGGGCGACAGAAAAGGGCCCGAGGAGCAAUAGAGAAAGUACCGCAAGGGAAAGCUGAAAGAGAAAUGAAAUAACCCAGAUAAAGCCUAGAAAAGCAGAGAUUAUAGCUCGUACCUUUUGCAUCAUGAUUUAGCCAGUAAAAUUCAAGCAAAGAGCACUUUAGUUUGAUUCCCCGAAACUAGGUGAGCUACUCCAAGACAGCCUAAUAUAGGGCGAACCCGUCUCUGUUGCAAAAGAGUGGGAAGAGCUUUGAGUAGAGGUGACAGACCUACCGAACCUAGUUAUAGCUGGUUGCCUGAGAAUUGGAUAGAAGUUCAGCCUCUCGGCUUCUCUCUUCACCCCCCCCCCAUAUCUUGGUCUUACCGAUAUUUAGAGAAACCGUGAGAGUUAGUCAAAGGGGGUGCAGCCCCUUUGAAACAAGACGCAACUUUCCCAGGAGGGUAAAGAUCAUAAUUAAUUAAGGUAAAAUGUUCUGGUGGGCCUAAAAGCAGCCACCCCUAUAGAAAGCGUUAAAGCUCAGACAUAUCACUUACCCUUUCAUCCUGAUAAUUUAAUCUUAACCCCCUAAUCCUACCAGGCCGUCCCCUGCAAACAGGGGAGCGACCAUGCUAAUAUGAGUAAUAAGAGAACAUCCGCUUCUCUCCUUGCACACGUGUAAAUCGGAAUGGACUUCCCACCGAAUAUUAACGGCCCCAAACAAAGAGGGCACUGAACAACAAACCAGAUAACCAGAAAAACAUCCAAUAAUUAACCGUUAACCCCACACUGGUGUGCUUUUAAGGAAAGACUAAAAGAAAAAGAAGGAACUCGGCAAACACAUAAAGCCUCGCCUGUUUACCAAAAACAUCGCCUCUUGCAAAACUAAAGAAUAAGAGGUCCCGCCUGCCCUGUGACUAUAAGUUUAACGGCCGCGGUAUUUUGACCGUGCGAAGGUAGCGCAAUCACUUGUCUUUUAAAUGAAGACCUGUAUGAAUGGCACCACGAGGGCUUAGCUGUCUCCUUUUUCAAGUCAAUGAAAUUGAUCUCCCCGUGCAGAAGCGGGGAUAUACACAUAAGACGAGAAGACCCUAUGGAGCUUUAGACACCAAGACAGAUCAUGUUAAACACCCUUGAACAAAAGGACCAAACCAAAUGAAACCUGUCCGCAUGUCUUUGGUUGGGGCGACCGCGGGGAAACAUAGAACCCCCACGUGGAAUGGGAGCACCCCUCCUACAGCUAAGAGCUCCCGCUCUAGCAAACAGAAAUUCUGACCAGCAGGAUCCGGCAAUGCCGAUCAACGGACCGAGUUACCCUAGGGAUAACAGCGCAAUCCCCUUUUAGAGCCCAUAUCGACAAGGGGGUUUACGACCUCGAUGUUGGAUCAGGACAUCCUAAUGGUGCAGCCGCUAUUAAGGGUUCGUUUGUUCAACGAUUAAAGUCCUACGUGAUCUGAGUUCAGACCGGAGAAAUCCAGGUCAGUUUCUAUCUAUGCUAUGAUCUUUUCUAGUACGAAAGGACCGAAAAGAAGAGGCCCAUGCUUAAGGUAUGCCUCACCCCCACCUAAUGAAGACAACUAAAAUAGGCAAAAGGGCAUGCCCCUAUGCCUGAGAAAAUGGCAU
rnacentral:rRNA from 1 species